rnacentral:rRNA from 1 species
AACGAACGCUGGCGGCAUGCCUAACACAUGCAAGUCGAACGAGACCUUCGGGUCUAGUGGCGCACGGGUGCGUAACGCGUGGGAACCUGCCCUUAGGUUCGGAAUAACUCCCCGAAAGGGGUGCUAAUACCGGAUAAUGACUUCGGACCAAAGAUUUAUCGCCUUUGGAUGGGCCCGCGUUGGAUUAGCUAGUUGGUAGGGUAAAAGCCUACCAAGGCGACGAUCCAUAGCUGGUCUGAGAGGAUGAUCAGCCACACUGGGACUGAGACACGGCCCAGACUCCUACGGGAGGCAGCAGUGGGGAAUAUUGGACAAUGGGCGAAAGCCUGAUCCAGCAAUGCCGCGUGAGUGAUGAAGGCCUUAGGGUUGUAAAGCGCUUUUACCCGGGAUGAUAAUGACAGUACCGGGAGAAUAAGCUCCGGCUAACUCCGUG